AGUCCCCAGACAGCUUUAUCUCUCAAGUACAGGGUUGCUGAGGUAACGAAGGUUGAGUCACUUCCUCCCAAUAAAAACCUGUCAACCAGAAAGAUCGGAGCGAGUGCAGGGUGUUUGCUCCAAGCAGCACGGGUGUAAGCAUCACUGAGGAAGGGACGGACCACGCAGUGAAACCUUCACUAUCUGCGCAUGGGGCAGAAGAUCGGCGGGCUCUGUGGGGGGAAGGAGGACGAUGGAGCGCCGUAUGGGAAAUCGUCAGCUGGUGGGACCAAGUAUCCCAGCGGCAAUGAUGGGAGAUCUGUAACCAAGCCUGUCCACAAGAACCCACCGCAUAAGGUGGAGUAUGGGCCCUGAGGGUAGUGGGAGCACUGAGGGUGAGUGGGGGGGCUCCUCCUCUGCCCCUCCCUCAGUGCUGCCUGACCAACAAUGAACCAACCUUUGCUUUGGGUCCAGGCUCCAUGACGACUCGUUCACAACCUCUCAGCGCAGAACCGAACUUGUCCGAAAGAUUAUUGCCUGCGGCAUGGAAACAAAAGCAAAAGCAAGGAUUAGUCUGAAAUUAAACGCGUCAGUGUAUCUGUAACUGUACCAAUAAAUGUGUGCCUUCCAUUCA